rnacentral:rRNA from 1 species
CCAAUAGCGUAUAUUAAAGUUGUUGCAGUUAAAAAGCUCGUAGUUGAAUUUCGGGAUCGACGGGUCGGUCGCGCCUCUGGUGUGUACUGGCCCUGUCGGUUUCUCCCUUCUUACGAACUGCGAUGUCAUUAAUUUGGUGUCGUAGGGACUACGGACUGUUACUUUGAAAAAAUUAGAGUGUUUAAAGCAGGCAUUCGCUCGAAUACAUUAGCAUGGAAUAAUGAAAUCGGACGUUUGAUCUUAUUUUGUUGGUUUCUAAGAUCGACGUAAUGAUUAAUAGGGAUAGUUGGGGGCAUUAGUAUUCAAUUGUCAGAGGUGAAAUUCUUGGAUUUAUUGAAGACUAACUACUGCGAAAGCAUUUGCCAAGGAUGUUUUCAUUAAUCAAGAACGAAAGUUAGGGGAUCGAAGACGAUCAGAUACCGUCGUAGUCUUAACCAUAAACUAUGCCGACUAGGGAUCGGAUGAUGUUAAUUUUUUAAUGACUCAUUCGGCGCCUUACG